AGAUUCCUCAAAAUUUUUAUGAUAAUGAACGAAUCAUUUCAUAAAUGUUGAUGAAUCUGAACCACUCAAACCUUAAUUUCUAUUGUUAUUGUUAUGCUUCUUCAAGGUGGCCUGAAUUCUCUUGCUUAAGAAAAGUAAUCAUUGAUUUGUCUUAUAAAAGAAGAGUUAUGCAUUUCUUGAGAUUAGAUUCAUGUUCAACGAGGAGGCAAUGUAACAUCCAUUCAAGUUGGAAUUUGAUCAAUUCCCUGAGUCAACAUGUCGGCAAUUGUAAUUUACAUGGUAGAUGAAAAAAUAUAUAUGGAUCAAAUUGUUUCCCC